UAUAAUAAUUUUAAUUGGAGUUGUAGAGUUUAAAUUAUAUUUAAUAAAAAUAAUUUUAUUAGUAAAAGUUUUAGUAUAUUUUAUAGAAGAAAUUUUAUUGUUUAAUAGUAAAUUUGUAUUGUGGAAGAAUGGUGAAAAAUUAUGAAAAUAUUUAUAAAUAAAAAGUAGAUUUAAGAUUGUACCUUGUGUAUCAGGGUUUAUUAAGAUUAAGAUAAUUAUAUUAUUAAUCCCGAAUUUAUAAGAGUUAAUUAAUUAUUAUAGUUAAUGUAAAAUAAUUAUUAUAAAUAAUUAAUUAGAAAUGAAAUGUUAAUCGUUUAUAAAGGUAUCUGGUUUUUUAAGAGUUGAAUUUAAUUCAUAAAUAUUUUUGUAUUUUAUUAGUUUGAGAUUAAAAUAUAAUUGUAUUUAAAUAUUUUGAGGGAUAAGCUUUGAAAUAUAAACUAUAAAUAAAUAAGGUUAUUAUUAAAUAUGUAGGCUUUAAAUUAGCUUUCAGUUAAAGUGUGUUAUAAUUUAUUUAAAUUUUAUUAUAAUUUUAUAGGGUUUUUAGUUAGCUUAUUAAAAUGAUUCUAGUAAUAAUAAAUUGAAUGAAAUAAUGAUAGAAUUAGUAUAAUUAAUAUGUAUAGAUAAAUAAUAUAAUGAAUUUAGAAUAAGGAAUUAGGCAAAAUUAAUUAUUAAUAAUACUCGCCAGUUUAACAAAAACAUGUCUUUUUGAAAAUAAUUUAAAGUCUGACCUGCCCACUGAAAUAAAAGAUUUGAAGGGCCGCAGUAUUUUGACUGUGCAAAGGUAGCAUAAUCAUUAGUCUUUUAAUUGGGGACUGGUAUGAAUGGUUUAACGAAGUAUUAACUGUCUCGUUUUAAUAAAUUGAAUUUAACUUUUGAGUCAAAAGGCUUAAAUAGAGUUAGAGGACGAGAAGACCCUAUAGAGCUUUAUAAAUUAAAUAUUAAAUUGGAUUUAGAUGUUUUGUUUAAUUUAAGUAAAAAAUUUAUUUUAUUGGGGUGAUAUGAAGAUUUAAUUAACUCUUUAUAAUAAGUAAACACUAAUGAGUGAAUAAUUGAUCCAUUUUUAGUGAUUAUAAGAUUAAGUUACCUUAGGGAUAACAGCGUAAUGUUUUUUGAGAGUUCUUAUCAACAAGAAAGAUUGCGACCUCGAUGUUGGAUUAAGGGAAAAGUUGGGUGUAGAAGUUCAAAUGUUUAGGUCUGUUCGACCUUUAAAUCCUUACAUGAUCUGAGUUCAGACCGGCGUGAGCCAGGUCGGUUUCUAUCCUUAAUAAUAUAAAGUGCUUUAGUACGAAAGGACCAAGUACUAAAAAUAUAGUUUUGAAAAUAAAUUGAUAAAUAGUAAUAA
rnacentral:rRNA from 1 species